rnacentral:tRNA from 1 species
GGAGAGAUGGCUCAGUGGUUAAGAGCACUGGCUCUUCUUCCAGAGGACCUGGGUUCAAUUCCCAGCACCA